AGCAGCCGCCGCGGGAAUACAGAGGGUGCGAGCGUUAAUCGGAUUUACUGGGCGUAAAGCGUGCGUAGGCGGCUUUUUAAGUCGGAUGUGAAAUCACUGAGCUUAACUUAGGAAUUGCAUUCGAUACUGGGAAGCUAGAGUAUGGGAGAGGAUGGUAGAAUUCCAGGUGUAGCGGUGAAAUGCGUAGAGAUCUGGAGGAAUACCGAUGGCGAAGGCAGCCAUCUGGCCUAAUACUGACGCUGAGGUACGAAAGCAUGGGGAGCAAACAGGAUUAGAUACCCGCGUGUCCCUGUCUCUUAUACA
rnacentral:rRNA from 1 species